rnacentral:tRNA from 1 species
GCGGCUAUAGUCUAGACUGGUCAGGAUACGAGAUUCCCAAUCUUGUGACCCGGGUUCAAAUCCCGGUAGCCGCA